CCUGAGAAACCCAAAAGAUCGAAUGAGGAGAUUCAUCGUCAGCGAUCCAGGUACGUGUACGGUUCGCGAUGCUGGGAGGCCUCGGCCUCGCGGCACGCGUCCGUAUCGUAUAUAUUGCCUGGUGUCGUCGGCGUGCACUUCUCCUCUAGUAGGACGUCGCGACCCGUUGGGUGUCGGUCUACGGUCCGGGCGGAAGUCCGUCAUGCGAUACGCUUCACGGCGUCGCGUGGCAGACCCCCGUUUGCCCGACCGACUGCCCGGCGGUACUCGCACGGUAUCGGGCCGCAAUCUUUGAACUGCGUCCUGGCCCGUCGCAAGCGAGGCUAGUGCUUCCCGGAUGCACGGACCCAGUGCCGUCACCGGACCUGGCCAGCUGUUGGUUGACGGGGUCUCCUUGGGACCGGCUCUGUUUAUGAUAAUACCGGUCGGCGACGCUACUGCUUUGGGUAUUU
rnacentral:rRNA from 1 species